rnacentral:lncRNA from 1 species
CAUUUCAAAACAACAUAAAAAUCAAAAUAAAUUCCUCUAUCAACACUCUCCUAACUUCUUCAAUGCUUCAAACUCUCAAAAGACUCUCAAUCAGUCUAGGCUGAAGACUAACCCCGACUUUCUUUUGAAAUCCUCUAUUCGACUUCUUUGUGCUCUUGUGCUUCUUUUUUCUUCUUAUUAUUAUUGGAAUAAAAUAUUCACACUCUGCUUGAUUCGGU